rnacentral:lncRNA from 10 species
AUUUCUCUAAGCAUCAGAAGGAUCUUGAGUGAAUCAAUAUAUAUUCCUUCUCCCCACAAUGCCUGGGGCCUCUCUGGAUGUCACGUAUCCCUCUUCACUCACUACUUUUCCCCCUCCAGCACCUGGACGCUCCCACUCUAACCCAUUCGGAAAGCUGUCCACUAUAAGAAGCCCCAGAGCGAGAGCUUGACAGCCAGGCAGAUUAUGGCCAGGGGCUGAGGAGAGGGAGCCAAAGCUACACUUACUGCAUCUGUUUCUCCAACUGCCACCUGCUCAGAAAAUCGAACCUUCACAGGAUUGGACCUCAACUUGGCCUUCUUCGCAGCACUGAUGAAAGCAGAUUUGGGGGACUGGAAAAAGAACAGAGAGAUGGUACCCUCCUGCUGGCUCAUCUUCCUCUUCUGCCUGCACUCUGAACGGAUGAUCCUGGCCAACCACAGAGAGUGGCCACUGAGAAGGUGUGUGGUGACAAUCUCCAAGAAACCUUUCUGAGAGCUUUCUUGAGCUUGUGCAUGGCAGAGCUUGGUCACAAGAGCACCUUACUGUACAGAAUGGAUGCAUCCUGGACAAGUUUCUUGCAAAUCAAAUUUUCACAUAUCAAAGACUAUUUUCCAUUUAACUUUUAACAUAUAAUUGGAGAUGUGUUUCUCCAAGGGCAAAAAAAUGGGGCCCUGAGACUUAAUAAAAAUCAUAUUUAUGAAUGCAAUGCAGCAACACACUUGAAAAUCACAAAUGUGAAUGGAAAAAAUGAAAAUUUUCUUAUAAAAUAUUAACAAUGCCCCCAAAUGAGUCGCAAGAUCUGAAUAAAAAAUAGCUAACGUUAUUUUGAUGUUUGGCACAAUAGCUUAAAGGCCUAAAAGAAAAACAAUUACAGCUUAACCGAACAGAACACACUGGACUGAAAAGUUGCCCAGUUUCUAUAAAACUGCCUUUCUAAUGUUCUACAGCAGGAGAUCUUGCAAUAUUCUUUGGCUGCUCAAAUCCUGAGCUUUAGCACUCUGGAGAAGCUGCUGGGUUUAAGAAACAAACAGGUUAAUCCAGACCAGAGAACAGACCAGGAAGCACAGACAUGACACUGCUUUAAAAUGCCCCAGGAAAUGAGUUAAUUGGGAGCAAGAGGGUAUGGGAAGACUUUCUGGUAAUACAAGAUUCAGAAGACUUGAAACUUCUGUAAAAUGAGUCUCUGGGUAACAUAUAAUGAAUCAGUUCCCCAAUUUCUAAAUGUUGCUUCGGCUAGUGUCUUUUUUUUUUUUUUUUUUUUUUUGACAGGGUCUCGCUUUGUCACCCAGGUUGGAGUGCAUUGAUACAAUCACAGCUCUCUAUAGCCUUAACCUUCCUGGCUCAAGCAAUCCUCCCGCCUCAGCCUUCCCAGCAGCUGGGACUACAAGCAUGCACCACCAGACCAGGCUAAUUUUUUGUUAUUAUUGUAGAGAUGGGAGUCUCAUUAUGUUUCCCAGGCUGGUCUCAAACUCCUGGGCUCAAGCCAUCCUCCUGCCUUGGUCUCCCAAAGUGCUGGGAUUACAGGAGUAAGCCACCAUGCCCUGCUGCUAGUGUCUUUCUAUAGUCUCCAAACAAUGAAAACUCCCAUGAAAGGGUUUCUAGCUGUGGUAUUUCCCCAAAGUGUGUUCCAGGGAACACUAGUCUUCAUAAGAGGGAUCCAUGGGCAAAAACGUUUGAGAAAUGUGAUGUACUCUAAAUCAGUGCUUCUCGAAAUUUAAUGUGUAUACAAAUCACCUGAGGAUGUUGUUACCAUGCCAAUUUUGACUUGGAACCUCUGAGGUAGAGGCCUGAGAUUCUGCAUUUUUAGCAAGGUCCCAGGUGAUGCCUAUGUUGCCAUCCUCAGACCACACUUUGGCAAGGCUCGAAAUGUCUUCUUGGAUAUUCAUGAUCCUCAUUAGACUAUUAAGGGCUCUGCAGUAAAGUUUAGCUUAUCUAACCCAGCAUUCAUCAAACUCAUUGGUACCCAGAAACCCUUUUUUCCCCAUGGUACCUAUUAAUCUCUCACACUCAGGGUACCAUGAAAGCCAAUUUGGGAAAUGCUAAUCAAGCUAAUACUACUCUACCUGGAGUGACUUUGCAUCAUCUGAGAAAUGUACAUUUUGGGUCAUGGCCAUAGACCUCAUCUACAGCUAGUUAAUAGCUCUGCAGAGACAUAGGGAUGCGAGGGCUGUGAAUUGCCAUUGGUUUUCAAAGACUCCAAGCUCAAUGACAGCAAAAUAUCAUAAAACUCUACUUACUAUCCUGCCACAUUCACUACUUUCCAAAGUGCUUUACAACCUUAAUGUGGCUUGAACUGAAAUGAAAGCAGGGAAAAAAGGAAGAGAUUUGGAGCAGAGAGGAGCCUGGCAUUUUCAAAGGAGGUAUGAAACAAGACAAUGAGCAAAUGAUACUGAAAUUAGACAGGAGGUAAGGGACUCAGGUUAGCUGGGGUGAGGAGAAAGAAGGAGGCAUCAGCAAGGGAUGUCAGUGGGCAGGGUGUCUCGGGGGUGUAAUGAGGAGAGAACAAUUACUCUGUAAAGUCCUACUCUAUCAAAUGAGGAGGAAAAAAACCACGAAGGGAAGAGUCAUCUUGUUUACCUGGUCUCCACCUAUACAGGUUUCAGCUACUGUAUUUGUUUUGCUGUACAAAUUGUUUGGCCAGGAGGCCCUCUCUGGGCAGAUUCCUUAUUCUCAUUGCAUUGGCUGCCAGAUGGAAAGGGUCUGGGUUGUCAGUUCUUCAGGAGGGCAUUUGCUCAUGCCCAUGGUGGCCCGCCACUCCAGCCCCUAUCCAGUUAGCAGAUGGGUCCGAGAGAGCUCUCCGAUUAUCAGAAGCCAGUGGCAGACAGUGCUCCCAAAAGUGUAAAAAGGGAAAGACAGAAACCUCUUUGUAGGCAGAGCCCCUAAUACGAGAGGUAGUACAACACAGAAGGUUCUGGUGUCAGACAGAGGUCAUAUCCCAGCUCUGCUACUCACUAGCUGUGAGGUCAUGGGGUAAUUAACCAUUUGAAACCUCAGUCUUCUCUUCUCUAAAAUAGGGCUAAGAAUAGUAUCUAUCUCAUAGCAACAUGGUGAGGAAUGAUUAAUGUAAUCCCUGGAAGAGGUUUAGGACCAUACCUGACAUAUAAUAAGAACUCAGUAAUUACUAAUGGCUAUUAAUACUAUUUAUUAUUAUUAAAAGCAUUUUAGUACAGUGCUUAGCACAAAGAAAGUGCUUCACAAAUGACAGCUGAUAUGAUGACAUUAUGACAACAAGCACGACAACAGUGAUGAUGUUGCUGUUAUUGAUGAUAAGGGAGCUUGCUUUCCCUCAGCUCUGCUUUGGAGGUUGGCAUCAGGAGAUGAUGUAAUUUGAAAGGUUCUGGGGUCAGAUAGUCGUGGGUUUCAAUCCUGACUCUACUACCCAAUAGUAGGUGGUCAGUUUUCGCAGUUGUAAAAUGCAGAUGAUAACACCAUCUACCUCACCGCUGUGAGGAUGAAAUGAGAUGAUGUAUGUGAGGUAGCAAAGCCCAGUGCUUGGUGCACUGUAAACACCAAAAGCUAUCAACCAGCUAGCUAGUCAUCCAGCAUCUGAGAACUUGAGAGAGCUCCAGGAAGGAAAGUUUCAGGAGUAAAAGUGCCCUCACAGUCCAAUUUGAAAAUCAUGGACAGGCCCAUGAAAGGCUUAUGUACAUACCACACACCUUUCCACACGUUACCAUUUCACACACACAGGGAAAUAACGUAUUCAGGCCCACAAAAAGAAACCCACCUGUUUUCAGAAGAGACUUUCCAGUGUACAGAAGUUCUUGAUUCAGCACAAGCAUUCUUAUACACCAAUAACAGACAAACA